CAAGUCGCACGAGAAAGGGGAGCAAUCCCUGAGUAAAGUGGCGCACGGGUGAGUAACACGUGAAUUAUCUACCUCCGAGUGGGGAAUAACUGAGAGAAAUCUUAGCUAAUACCGCAUAACACUUACGAGUCAAAGCAGCAAUGCGCUUGGAGAGGAGUUCGCGGCCGAUUAGUUAGUUGGCGGGGUAAUGGCCCACCAAGACGAUGAUCGGUAUCCGGCCUGAGAGGGCGCACGGACACACUGGAACUGAAACACGGUCCAGACUCCUACGGGAGGCAGCAGUGGGGAAUUUUGCGCAAUGGGGGAAACCCUAACGCAGCAACGCCGCGUGGAGGAUGAAAUAUCUUGGUAUGUAAACUCCUUUCGAUGGGGAAGAUUAUGACGGUACCCAUAGAAGAAGCCCCGGCUAACUUCGUGCCAGCAGCCGCGGUAAUACGAGGGGGGCAAGCGUUGUUCGGAUUUAUUGGGCGUAAAGGGUGCGUAGGCGGUUUGGCAAGUCUGAUGUGAAAUCUAUGGGCUCAACCCAUAGUCUGCAUCAGAAACUGCCGGGCUUGAGUAUGGGAGAGGUGAGUGGAAUUUCCGGUGUAGCGGUGAAAUGCGUAGAUAUCGGAAGGAACACCUGUGGCGAAAGCGGCUCACUGGACCAUAACUGACGCUGAUGCACGAAAGCUAGGGGAGCAAACAGGAUUAGAUACCCUGGUAGUCCUAGCCCUAAACGAUGAUUGCUUGGUGUGGCAGGUACCCAAUCCUGCCGUGCCGAAGCUAACGCGAUAAGCAAUCCGCCUGGGGAGUACGGUCGCAAGGCUGAAACUCAAAGGAAUUGACGGGGGCCCGCACAAGCGGUGGAGCAUGUGGUUUAAUUC
rnacentral:rRNA from 1 species